UGGCUCAGAUUGAACGCUGGCGGCAGGCCUAACACAUGCAAGUCGAGCGGUAGCACAGAGAGCUUGCUCUCGGGUGACGAGCGGCGGACGGGUGAGUAAUGUCUGGGAAACUGCCUGAUGGAGGGGGAUAACUACUGGAAACGGUAGCUAAUACCGCAUAACGUCGCAAGACCAAAGUGGGGGACCUUCGGGCCUCAUGCCAUCAGAUGUGCCCAGAUGGGAUUAGCUAGUAGGUGGGGUAACGGCUCACCUAGGCGACGAUCCCUAGCUGGUCUGAGAGGAUGACCAGCCACACUGGAACUGAGACACGGUCCAGACUCCUACGGGAGGCAGCAGUGGGGAAUAUUGCACAAUGGGCGCAAGCCUGAUGCAGCCAUGCCGCGUGUGUGAAGAAGGCCUUCGGGUUGUAAAGCACUUUCAGCGGGGAGGAAGGCGAUAAGGUUAAUAACCUCAUCGAUUGACGUUACCCGCAGAAGAAGCACCGGCUAACUCCGUGCCAGCAGCCGCGGUAAUACGGAGGGUGCAAGCGUUAAUCGGAAUUACUGGGCGUAAAGCGCACGCAGGCGGUCUGUCAAGUCGGAUGUGAAAUCCCCGGGCUCAACCUGGGAACUGCAUUCGAAACUGGCAGGCUAGAGUCUUGUAGAGGGGGGUAGAAUUCCAGGUGUAGCGGUGAAAUGCGUAGAGAUCUGGAGGAAUACCGGUGGCGAAGGCGGCCCCCUGGACAAAGACUGACGCUCAGGUGCGAAAGCGUGGGGAGCAAACAGGAUUAGAUACCCUGGUAGUCCACGCCGUAAACGAUGUCGAUUUGGAGGUUGUGCCCUUGAGGCGUGGCUUCCGGAGCUAACGCGUUAAAUCGACCGCCUGGGGAGUACGGCCGCAAGGUUAAAACUCAAAUGAAUUGACGGGGGCCCGCACAAGCGGUGGAGCAUGUGGUUUAAUUCGAUGCAACGCGAAGAACCUUACCUGGUCUUGACAUCCACAGAACUUUCCAGAGAUGGAUUGGUGCCUUCGGGAACUGUGAGACAGGUGCUGCAUGGCUGUCGUCAGCUCGUGUUGUGAAAUGUUGGGUUAAGUCCCGCAACGAGCGCAACCCUUAUCCUUUGUUGCCAGCGGUCCGGCCGGGAACUCAAAGGAGACUGCCAGUGAUAAACUGGAGGAAGGUGGGGAUGACGUCAAGUCAUCAUGGCCCUUACGACCAGGGCUACACACGUGCUACAAUGGCAUAUACAAAGAGAAGCGACCUCGCGAGAGCAAGCGGACCUCAUAAAGUAUGUCGUAGUCCGGAUUGGAGUCUGCAACUCGACUCCAUGAAGUCGGAAUCGCUAGUAAUCGUAGAUCAGAAUGCUACGGUGAAUACGUUCCCGGGCCUUGUACACACCGCCCGUCACACCAUGGGAGUGGGUUGCAAAAGAAGUAGGUAGCUUAACCUUCGGGAGGGCGCUUACCACUUUGUGAUUCAUGACUGGGGUGAAGUCGUAACAAGGUAAACCGU
rnacentral:rRNA from 1 species